AGCGAACGCUGGCGGCGUACUUAACACAUGCAAGUCGAACGGGGAUCAUCGGGUUAGCAAUAACUCGGUGGUUCUAGUGGCGCACGGGCGAGUAACACGUGGGUAACCUGCCCUGGAGACCGGGAUACCCCCUCGAAAGGGGGGCUAAUACCGGAUACGUUCCCUGGAUCGAGAGGUCUGGGGAGGAAAGGUGGCGAAAGCUGCCGCUCUUGGAGGGGCUCGCGGCCUAUCAGCUAGUUGGCGGGGUAACGGCCCACCAAGGCUAUGACGGGUAGCUGGUCUGAGAGGACGACCAGCCACACGGGGACUGAGACACGGCCCCGACUCCUACGGGAGGCAGCAGUGGGGAAUUUUCCGCAAUGGGCGAAAGCCUGACGGAGUGACGCCGCGUGUGGGAUGAAGGCC
rnacentral:rRNA from 1 species